GAUGAACGCUGGCGGCGUGCCUAAUACAUGCAAGUCGAGCGAACAGACGAGGAGCUUGCUCCUCUGACGUUAGCGGCGGACGGGUGGGUAACACGUGGAUAACCUACCUAUAAGACUGGGAUAACUUCGGGAAACCGGAGCUAAUACCGGAUAAUAUAUUGAACCGCAUGGUUCAAUAGUGAAAGACGGUUUUGCUGUCACUUAUAGAUGGAUCCGCGCCGCAUUAGCUAGUUGGUAAGGUAACGGCUUACCAAGGCAACGAUGCGUAGCCGACCUGAGAGGGUGAUCGGCCACACUGGAACUGAGACACGGUCCAGACUCCUACGGGAGGCAGCAGUAGGGAAUCUUCCGCAAUGGGCGAAAGCCUGACGGAGCAACGCCGCGUGAGUGAUGAAGGUCUUCGGAUCGUAAAACUCUGUUAUUGGGGAAGAACAAAUGUGUAAGUAACUAUGCACGUCUUGACGGUACCUAAUCAGAAAGCCACGGCUAACUACGUG
rnacentral:rRNA from 1 species